UACGUAGGGGGCGAGCGUUGUCCGGAUUUAUUGGGCGUAAAGAGCUCGUAGGCGGCUGUUCGAGUCGGGUGUGAAAUCCUGAGGCUUAACCUUGGGUCUGCAUUCGAUACUGGGCGGCUUGAGUCUGGUAGGGGGAUCUGGAAUUCCUGGUGUAGCGGUGGAAUGCGCAGAUAUCAGGAGGAACACCGGUGGCGAAGGCGGGAUCCUGGGCCAGUACUGACGCUGAGGAGCGAAAGCGUGGGGAGCGAACAGG
rnacentral:rRNA from 1 species